GGCGUGAUGGCCUAUUGGUAAGGCACCAGACGCCUAUGUUGAAGUGAUAAAACAGAUGUGGUCUGGGGAAGAAGGUUCGAGCCCUACUCGUGUCA